rnacentral:rRNA from 1 species
AAUUUUGGACAAUGGGCGCAAGCCUGAUCCAGCCAUUCCGCGUGCAGGAUGAAGGCCCUCGGGUUGUAAACUGCUUUUGUACAGAACGAAAAGCUCUGGGUUAAUACCCUGGGGUCAUGACGGUACUGUAAGAAUAAGCACCGGCUAACUACGUGCCAGCAGCCGCGGUAAUACGUAGGGUGCAAGCGUUAAUCGGAAUUACUGGGCGUAAAGCGUGCGCAGGCGGUUAUGUAAGACAGAGGUGAAAUCCCCGGGCUCAACCUGGGAACUGCCUUUGUGACUGCAUAGCUAGAGUACGGCAGAGGGGGAUGGAAUUCCGCGUGUAGCAGUGAAAUGCGUAGAUAUGCGGAGGAACACCGAUGGCGAAGGCAAUCCCCUGGGCCUGUACUGACGCUCAUGCACGAAAGCGUGGGGAGCAAACAGGAUUAGAUACCCUGGUAGUCCACGCCCUAAACGAUGUCAACUGGUUGUUGGGUCUUCACUGACUCAGUAACGAAGCUAACGCGUGAAGUG